rfam:Tyto alba contig58531, whole genome shotgun sequence.
GUGCUGCCGAAGCGAGCACAUAUACUAAAAUAGGAAUGAUAUAGAGCAGACUAGCAUGGCCCCUGCAUAAGGAUGACACACAAAUUCACGAAGCCUUCCAUAUUAGG